GUUUUCAUACAGCUUGCAGGAAUUUCCUACUCUUGAGAACUCAACCUCCAUAACAUCUACCAAAAAGCUAUGCAGGCAGACAGCGCAGAUGCACGAGGCGUGAUUGCUUGGGAAACUGCUUUUAGACUUACCUGCGGGCAAGGACCAUGCUCCAGGGACCGCUGGAGCAGCUCUUCCAGGUUCGCCUGCGUUCUCAGGAUUGCCUAACGCUUGGUCCUACCCCAAAAGCAUCCUCGAUUUGGCCUCCACUCAUUUAGGCAAGCGGAAGAUGCCGCUUGACACCAAGCUGCCCUCCGAGAAGGGAGGUGCUUGUCUGCCCAGCCUGCGGAGUGCAGAGCCUGCAGAUUAGGCUGAGCAAGAGGGGACGUCUUCAUCUUCCACCUCCUGGAGAAGACUUGUACUGCAGAUCAGGAUCAGAUGUCUAAAUGCCUCCACAGGCUGAAGGGAGGGACUGAGAUUGCUGAGCUCAGAUCACAAGACCAACUUUUACUGUUGUACCAAGAAAUCAUCAGCACUCAUAAAUGGGCCAAAGGCACGCGGUUGUCCCCAAACCAUCAGGACACAAUUUUUCGUGCUGGCUACUCCAGAGAAGCAAACUGUCACUUCCUCAGAGAUCCACCUCUAACCAACUGAAUAAAAAUUGCUUCCCAGCGGUUCCUCACAGCCUGCAAGUGCACAUCCCUGACUCCUGGAGGCUCCCGGGGUGAGGAAAGCGCUUACAUCCCAAAAUGCUGACGGAUCACACCACCGAGUUAGUGCUGGAGCUGCUACUUGAAAGACCCAUUUAGCGACGUGGAGAAGGUUCUUCUGUUGCUUAUGAGAACUUUCAAACCAGCUUGGCACUGAGAUAGGGAGAAAUUGCCAUACCCGGGCUAUUAACUGACUGGGAUCGCAGUGCACCCAUUUCCGUAAGAGGACACUCACAGGGGGUGUCUUUAUGAGGAAAUUCAAACUUGAGAGCAGUGUUACAGAUCUGGCAUUGAUUUAUUUUUUUUUAAAAAGAAAAGCAGUAUCACGGCCAACCUUUUUCUCUUGAAGUGGUAAUUCUGGGAAAGGGCUCGUAGCAAGGGGCACUUGUUUUGCUGGGUUAACUCUUAAAACAGAAGAACUAAAGAAGGUCAAAAUUUACAGGUAUCUCCCAGCCCAAAAAGCUCCAGCUCCCUCUGCGGCAGCAUGGUUUGUUCUGGAUUUCUCCUGAUGAAGGCUAUCCUGGCCCUAACGCUGCUGCUCUGCUUUGACACCGUUAACACCACAGCCCGUCCGGGAUGCUGAACCUGCUGCGGGCAGGACAUGGGGGAAAGAGCCAGGACGUUCACACUGCUUCCAGGCAUGUCCUGGUGAUUUGAGCAGAGGCACUGAAUUUGCAUUAAAAAAAAAAAGUCAGAGGUGGAGUAAGUAAAUGAGUCUGAGGUCUCAAAGCAUCUGAGAAAUCUUCCAAAGAAGUCUGAAGAGCUGUGUCAAGGUACAGGAGCCAGAUCUGCUGCUGGUAUAGCCGGAGGGUGCGGUUUUGAAUUUCCAAACCAGUACUGAGCACGUUUUCUCCACCAGCGUGUGACCUGCGGGGCUGCCGAUGCAGAGAAACUUGUGCAACGCUGCGGGAGUACGGCUACUUGUAGAAUUGCAGGGGCUGAGCGCGCAUAUUUGGCUAGACACAACUAAAAUAACACGAGCAAUUUCUGGGUCGUUGGCAUGUAUUUACAUCUGACACUGGUUCAUGGAGUUUUCUUGAGGUCUGGAUCCACGUGUGCACCCAGCUGUGAAAAUAAGCGCCUCGAAACGAAACCUGUCUGGCUGAGCUGGUGCCCGCGAGCCUGUCUGUACAAAACAUUAGGACAGGAGCAGUUGUGGUUGCCAAAGAUGUCAGCCCUAGCUUCACCUCUGAGCUUCGGUGGGGGACGAAUGUAAGCGAGACCAAAAUAGCUCCUGUGCGCUGUGUUCAUCUCGAAGUAUUUGGGACUGAAUUACUCAAAGGCACUUGGAACACCAAAUACGGAUUUUCAGUAAAGUACGUUGUGUUCAAAAUGUCCUGCUUUGGUGCAAUAAAUGUGUGCAAUAAUUA